rnacentral:rRNA from 1 species
AGAGUUUGAUCAUGGCUCAGAUUGAACGCUGGCGGCAGGCCUAACACAUGCAAGUCGAGCGGUAGCACAGAGAGCUUGCUCUCGGGUGACGAGCGGCGGACGGGUGAGUAAUGUCUGGGAAACUGCCUGAUGGAGGGGGAUAACUACUGGAAACGGUAGCUAAUACCGCAUAACGUCGCAAGACCAAAGUGGGGGACCUUCGGGCCUCAUGCCAUCAGAUGUGCCCAGAUGGGAUUAGCUAGUAGGUGGGGUAACGGCUCACCUAGGCGACGAUCCCUAGCUGGUCUGAGAGGAUGACCAGCCACACUGGAACUGAGACACGGUCCAGACUCCUACGGGAGGCAGCAGUGGGGAAUAUUGCACAAUGGGCGCAAGCCUGAUGCAGCCAUGCCGCGUGUGUGAAGAAGGCCUUCGGGUUGUAAAGCACUUUCAGCGGGGAGGAAGGCGGUGAGGUUAAUAACCUCAUCGAUUGACGUUACCCGCAGAAGAAGCACCGGCUAACUCCGUGCCAGCAGCCGCGGUAAUACGGAGGGUGCAAGCGUUAAUCGGAAUUACUGGGCGUAAAGCGCACGCAGGCGGUCUGUCAAGUCGGAUGUGAAAUCCCCGGGCUCAACCUGGGAACUGCAUUCGAAACUGGCAGGCUAGAGUCUUGUAGAGGGGGGUAGAAUUCCAGGUGUAGCGGUGAAAUGCGUAGAGAUCUGGAGGAAUACCGGUGGCGAAGGCGGCCCCCUGGACAAAGACUGACGCUCAGGUGCGAAAGCGUGGGGAGCAAACAGGAUUAGAUACCCUGGUAGUCCACGCUGUAAAUGAUGUCGAUUUGGAGGUUGUGCCCUUGAGGCGUGGCUUCCGGAGCUAACGCGUUAAAUCGACCGCCUGGGGAGUACGGCCGCAAGGUUAAAACUCAAAUGAAUUGACGGGGGCCCGCACAAGCGGUGGAGCAUGUGGUUUAAUUCGAUGCAACGCGAAGAACCUUACCUGGUCUUGACAUCCACAGAACUUUCCAGAGAUGGAUUGGUGCCUUCGGGAACUGUGAGACAGGUGCUGCAUGGCUGUCGUCAGCUCGUGUUGUGAAAUGUUGGGUUAAGUCCCGCAACGAGCGCAACCCUUAUCCUUUGUUGCCAGCGGUUAGGCCGGGAACUCAAAGGAGACUGCCAGUGAUAAACUGGAGGAAGGUGGGGAUGACGUCAAGUCAUCAUGGCCCUUACGACCAGGGCUACACACGUGCUACAAUGGCAUAUACAAAGAGAAGCGACCUCGCGAGAGCAAGCGGACCUCAUAAAGUAUGUCGUAGUCCGGAUUGGAGUCUGCAACUCGACUCCAUGAAGUCGGAAUCGCUAGUAAUCGUAGAUCAGAAUGCUACGGUGAAUACGUUCCCGGGCCUUGUACACACCGCCCGUCACACCAUGGGAGUGGGUUGCAAAAGAAGUAGGUAGCUUAACCUUCGGGAGGGCGCUUACCACUUUGUGAUUCAUGACUGGGGUGAAGUCGUAACAAGGUAACCGUAGGGGAACCUGCGGUUGGAUCACCU